CCUACGGGUGGCAGCAGUGAGGAAUAUUGGUCAAUGGACGAGAGUCUGAACCAGCCAAGUAGCGUGAAGGAUGACUGCCCUAUGGGUUGUAAACUUCUUUUAUAUGGGAAUAAAAUGUUCCACGUGUGGGAUUUUGUAUGUACCAUAUGAAUAAGGAUCGGCUAACUCCGUGCCAGCAGCCGCGUUAAUACGGAGGAUCCGAGCGUUAUCCGGAUUUAUUGGGUUUAAAGGGAGCGUAGGUGGAUUGUUAAGUCAGUUGUGAAAGUUUGCGGCUCAACCGUAAAAUUGCAGUGGAAACUGGCAGUCUUGAGUACAGUAGAGGUAGGCGGAAUUCGUGGUGUAGCGGUGAAAUGCUUAGAUAUCACGAAGAACUCCGAUUGCGAAGGCAGCUUACUGGACUGCAACUGACACUGAGGCUCGAAAGUGUGGGUAACAAACAGGAUUAGAUACCCGGGUAGUC
rnacentral:rRNA from 1 species